GGCCCCAAUCCAGUGAUAAAUACAUGGGAAAUCCCUUUAGAGUUUCUGGCAUUGAAUCCAUGUUGGAAACAUGAAGUUUUCUAUCAGUGGAGGAUGAAUCAGAGGCUAUGCACACUGACUCAUGAAGAAGAAAAGGUGAUCUUCAAGGGUUGAAGUACUUGGCUGGGUGCUGAAAGAGAAGACCUUGAGUCUGAAAGAUACACCUUUAAUCUGGGCUACAUCUUCUGUUGAAAGCCUUUAUAAGUACAAUGGAAGAAGAAAAGGUUCUUCACCUGCCUGCCCUUGCCUUGUCAGCACACCCAGAAGACCAGCUGGGACACCCAGCCUCAUGGGACUGAGUACCUACUAGAUUCUUGGACUUUCCAUUCGCAACUAGCCAUUGUUGGACUGCAGCCUGUCGACCUGUGCUCAUGAUGACUUCAUAUCUCAGUCAUAUGAUCUGGAAAGAAAAUUUUAUGGCUAUUUUCCUCUGUGUAGAUCUCAAAAUGAAGAUUAAAUUUGGUGGAGGAAUCCAGCAAUGAUACCCUGUAUCUUCCUAAUUCAGCCUGUCACCAGGAUCCCCUAAAGAUGCCUUCACCCCUAGACAGCAGGAAGUAAUUUUAAGAACACAAUGCCCACAUUCCCAAGAGACAUAUCUGCUCCUGGAAGCAUCAAUCUACUUCAGAGAACAUGAUGGGCAUUGAAGAAACUCCAUAAGGAGUUUACUUUCUUUGUGGAAAAAGUAAGUCACUGGACAAGAACGUGCCCUUACAUCGACUGCUGACAGUGUGCAGUCCAAAUGGACAAGCAGGACACAAAAGAAAGGACUGCUGAACUUUGCCAAGAUAAGGAAAGGGCACUUUCAACUAGAAUUCCAUAGUGUGCUUUCCUGCUAAGUGGUGACCCUGUUAGGAAGAUUCCAAUGACCAAACAACGACAGAAAACUGAAGGAAAGAAAGAAGCAGAUCCUAUCUCAAAGCAGAACUUCUCCAGCAGUGUAAUUGAAGGCCAGGGUGGAGGAGUCACCUACCAGAUCCACUCCUCCUCUGUCUCCCAUCAGAAAGGAGCAGAACUCCAAGAGACAACAAGCAAACACAGGAAACAAAAUACAAUAAGACAAGGCAAAAGCCCUCUCACAGAAGCUGCACAAGGCAACCUAAUAAGAAGGAUCCAAAGAGCAGGCCAAAGAGUCAGCGACAGACUUUUUCCACUGUUAGGAGUCCCACAAAAAUACCAAGCUAACAGCCGCUACAUAGAAGCAGAGGAUCUAGUACAGACUCAUGCAGGCCACAUGCUUGCUGCUUCAGUCUCUGGGAUUCCUCAAGCUCCAAAGGGAGGGACCGGAAGGAAACCUCUGAUUUAGACUCUCUCUGCCUAAUGUUUGGCUGUGAGUCUCCACACCCCGUUUUCUGCUGGAGGAAACCUCUCUGAUGACAACUGGAAACAGAACAGUUUUUGCAGAUGGACUGGGAUGCACAUGGAAAGAGUAGGAGAGAUCAGCUGGGGGACACGGAGGGAGAAAGUGCAGAGAGAGACAGCUGGGAUUGGGGAGCACUAAGGGGACAGUGUGGAAACCGAGUGCAAUGGAAACUUUCUGGGAGCUGUUUAUUUUUUUUAAAACUGCUCAUCUCAAUUUUCUGAAAGCUUUUGUGGGUUGCAAAGUAUACUUCCAAUAGAUUUUAUUUUUGCUUAAGCUAGCCAGUAAGCUUCUUUUGUUUGCAACCAAAUAAACCUAAUUGCCACGAUGCAUGCCUUCCUCGGAGAGCAACUUACAGAUUCUCAGAUGCAAUGUUUAUGAGGUUCAUCCCCUCUUUUUUCAUAGUAUGGAAGCACACGCAUGUGUGAUUCUUGGCCCAAGCCAACAUCUUUCUUGAACAGGAAACAAGUACACAAUCCAAGGACUCUUGAUGGUCAAUACUUUAUACCAAAGCAUUGAUCAAUUAUCUUUACUCCCAUGAAUCACUGAGCUUUGUGUCUAGAUUUGUUGACAUAACUCUUACCUUCUUCAUCCUCAUAAUCAAAAACUAAGAAUAUAAAUUGUAAAAUAAAAAUAAUGUGUAAAACACAGAUCAAGUAAUUUCAGAAAAAUGAACUAUUAUUAAGAAAAAAUAUUUGUUGCAUACAUAGGUGCUAAAUAAUAUAAAGCUAUAUAUAAGAUGAAGUGAAAUUUGGUGUUUUAUAGCACAGCAUACUUGGAUUUGAUGAAUUUAUGCAUAUUCAUAAGUAAUGAUUGUUUACAACUUAAAAACAUAGAUUGGAAUCCUUACCUUUUGCUUAUGAUGCCUGUAGCAAAGAGAAGAAAAAUAUGAAUUCUAGAAAAUUGCCUUUCCUUUAAAAACAACAGUAGCAAAGCAUGACACAAACAUUUAAUAAAGGGAUGGUUGUAGACUUUCUUCAUUCCUGAGAACCAACAAAAAUAUCUCAAGGGACAGAUCAUUAAAUGCUCCUCGGCGUUACCGCGGGCAGCAUCUCUGGAGGCAUCUCUGAAGGUGGGAGGCACUUAUUAGAAGGAUGUUUAGAAAGCUCUGGCUGUUGUCUCAAAAAUCAUUCCUGCAGAACAUAACAGGAUAGUUACCAAGCAUUUCUGAAAGCUGUGUAUCACUGAAAAGAUUCCAUUCAUUAGAAAUACAGUAAGUUAUAAAUGGUAAAGGCAGAAAAGGGGUAAGUUGUGGGAAUAAAGUAUAAAUUCAACAUGGGAAGCAUAAUGUAACCAUCAGAAAUCAUUUGGUAUAUAUUACCUUAUUAUUUUGUAUGUGUUCUGAGAUCUGGCAAUAUACCACAGUAUUAGUUCAUGCUUCAAUUUAUACGGAAAAAAAAAAGAGAGAAAAAAAGAACAAGGGAAGAAAAAAGAUGGAAUAAAAAUGUCCAUAGCAUGCUGUUUUCUUAUUCUCAUUUUUCAUUUUGCAUUAUUAGUUAAACCUUCUGACAUUCAUAACAUAAACCAAGUUUAGAAUCCUUCAUUAGCUAUAAUUAAUUCCCAUUACUUUUUUUUUUCUUCCAGGAAGGAUUAUUACUAAAACCAUGAUUUUUCUCCCAAACCUUAAUUUUCCCUUGACCCAGCAAUUUACAUUUAUUUCAAUGAUUCCAGAUAACAAGCAUGGUGCAGUUCAUGUGCAUCGAUCCAGAUUUAGGAAGUAUUUUCAUCUUCAGUUAUAUUUGCUUCUCUUAGGGGUCCUAUUUUUUUAAUGAAUAGAACUUUCUUCUCAUGGAGAUUUGUCUGAUGUAUUAAACAGCAUGAUUUAAGGAUUAGUUCAAGAUCACACAUAUAUUAGAAAAGAAAUUUAAAGUAUACAUCUCAAGACUCAUAGUCUGUCGCUUAUUACUUCAUUCAGUCCAUUUACUUUUCAAGGUAUGCAAACACAUAUUUAUUGAAUCCAGACAUCCCUUCUAGACCCUGGUCAGGACUGCUUUCUGCCCAAGGAAUUCACAGCAACUUUGUAGGAGAUAUUUUUCUCCCCAGUGAGAAUCAAAGAGGACUGCCCAGAUAUAUAAAGAAAAGGGUGGACUCAGAGUCAUAUAUAAGAAUAAGUACUUCGAGUUUUGGAUACACUGUUAUGUUCGAGGUAAGUAUUUACAGACCUCAACAAAUAUAGAGGGUAUUCUACUAAAGAGAGGAAAUGGAAAAAGACUACACUUAGGAACAAAUGGACAUAGUGGAAGUAGAAAAGACAUCACUGUAUACAUACUGCAAACAUUGAGAACCACACUGUCCGUAUCAAACUAAGAUUGUUCUGCAAGAAAUGUGAGCAGGCAGAUUGGGAAGGUUGAAAUAUUCUCCAUGAGGGGAGUCCUAGUGAAUUUUGAGGCGAUAUUCUUAUAGUAAUUGGGAAUAUCUCCUUUCUCUGUAAUAGAAUAAUGCAGAAACUAUGUAUUUUAAAAUAUUAAAGUGGAGGAUUCAUGACAUUUGUAUUUUUCAUUCACUCUUUGUUGUCCAUUUCUAAAACUGAAGCA